rnacentral:lncRNA from 1 species
AUAGAUCUCAGGUCUGCGUGAAAUUGUCUCAGCUAGGCCUAAAGUCACCGGGCCGCCCGAGCCUCCCUCUCAAGGAGCCUGGAUCUUAGCCUGAGAGAUGAAGAAAGCCACUACGGGUGUGACUUCUGAAGAGCACUGCCUGACUUCAAUACCCACGGUCACCUUCCCUUCCAACUGAGGAGUGUGAGACAGAAGGCUGCUGGAAAAUGUAAAGAAAAAAAAAAGGCAUAGCGGCAGGUUCAUCCUUGCAACGACGCUUGCUGGAGUCUCCUUGUUAGAAGAGCAGAAUGUUCCAGAAAUGCAGCAAAGCAGAGCCUGAGCUGAGUCUUCAGGCAUCAGCAGCCUAGUGAAGAAGACAUGUGGCCCAACAGAUAGGUGUGCAGCAAUAAUUAAAGACCUGGUAUCUGGCCAUAGACCUUGGCGGGCCUGUGGUAUGCCUGGAGUCUAGGGAUAAGAACAGCCGCACGUGUGCAUGCAAGUCACCGGGAGCCCUACUGGCCUGUUUUCUAAGUGGAUCAGGCUCCAGUAAAGAUCACCAGCU